UGCGACAAAGGUCCCCGAUCGACCCCAACUGGGCUCCACUACUGAUCAACUAGAACGAAACAACACAAAGGGCAAGAUCUUCAUCGAGCUCCUCCUUGAGCUUGGUUGCGUCUCCUGCUCGGUAAUAUAGGCACCAGCAAACUGAAAUCCCGCAAGGAAGAAGAACGAGUCCAUGAAGAAGACAAACGGCCGGAGACG